GUCCGCCCCCACCACCUUCCCCAAAGUUAUUGGGAGAUCCUUGGAGACAAAUAUCGUGGGAAAACAAUGAGAAAGAUCUGAAGUACGUGAGGGACUAUCAACCACAAAAUGAUCAAAUCAGUCAUCUCAGAAUUUUGCUCUACGGACCAGUCGGUGCUGGAAAGUCCAGCCUCAUCAACUCUUUCAGCAGUGUUGUCAGGGGGAGAAUGGCCCUCCCGGCGUCAGCCAGCGGUAUCAGCUCUGACAAAAGUCACA